GCGGGUGGGACGUGUGCGGCGAGCCGUCGCACCGGAUCGCUGCGCAUCGCCGGCUCCCAGGCGCCCGCUGGGAUCUCCUGCGCGCGCUGCGCCGAAUAUGGACUUUCAGAGCGCUAUGGAGACAUUCGCGGAGGCGUGGGUGGCUGCCAACACGAAGGGCGGGCCGUUGGGCGAAGUCGCCGGACAGCAGAUGGCCGAAAAUACUCCUUGGCUACGAAUACCCGCUCCUCAGACGCAGGCGAUGGCGCUGACGCGCGGCUGCAAGACUCCACCGGCGCCACCCCCGCUGCUGCCGCCGC